CAAAAUUUUAUUUUGCAAAUUAAAUAUUUAAAACGACGUAAUUUUUCUAAAAAUAUUUUCUUUUUGGUGCAUAUCUGCAUAUGAAUUGAGCAAUUGAAUACACGACAAUAUUGUUUUGGAUGUGUAGUAUACGUGGAAUAUUCUUAAAGAACUAUAUAUUUAUAAAAAGUUGUCGUUUUUAUGAUACUAUGUGAUCUGUACUGGACACAUACAUCUAUCUAUUUACCCAAUGAAUGCCAAAAUGCUGCUGAAUUCGGGAUUAUGAACCGAUAUUAAGCAAGUUUAUAAAGAUUUAAUGGUGCUGUCGAUAGCUGUGGUACAGUUGUAGACGUUGUAAUUUUCUAGAAUUUUAUAUAUUCAGGAAAUAUCGUUUAAAAUAUUGAUUGAAAAGUUUAAAAAUAUGGCGCAUCCUGCCUCGGGUAGAAAAUGUACGGAGCGUAUUAAUUUUGGCAAAUGUGUUGAAGGCAUACCUAAUGGCACAAAUGCAAGCAGAAUUCUCCAUGAAAUCACACGAAGGUAGGUGAUGUAAUGAUUUUAAAUAUCAGGAGAAUUGGUUGAUGUAAGAUCGAAGUUUAACCCUUUAAGUGGCAAUGCACUCUGAUGAGCCCUACUUUAUUAUUUUACUCAGUCUAACGC
rnacentral:lncRNA from 1 species